ACUGAAUCCACAGAUUGCAUGUGAAAAGGAGUGGGUAGAGGAAGAGUCAACUAUGUAUAUCUCAGGCUCUGUGAAUCUGCGCCUUAUAUAAGAUAAAGUAAUCAUACCGCAGAGAAAGGAGGGAUGAUUUCCAUUCUCCUCUUGUCCCAUACCCAGGAAGAACAGCCAAACAGAAAAACGGUGAAGGUGUCCAUGGAUUUGGGCAAGAAGGAGGUCUUUGGUGGAAUAAUGAAAAGAUCUUCAGCAUCGUGAUGGGGCAGAAGAUGAAUCUCAGUAGUUUAAAUAGUAAAUAGGAGGAGAAUAGGUGAUGCUGUUUUGGAAAUUUCUAAUAACUGUGAAGAGAAAAAAUAAGGCUGUAUGUAACUAAGGGAAACAAGGGGUCAAGAGUAGAGAUUUUUUUUUAAGAUGAAAGAGGUUUACACAUGGUUAAAUAUAUUGCAAGAAAGCCAGAAGACAAGGAGAGAAGAGUUACAGCAAAAGAAGAGAAUAAUCCACAUAGAGAUUUCUCUUGUUGACCAGGCUAGAGUGCACUGGCGUGACCUCGGCUCACUGCAACCUCCGCCUCCUGGGUUCAAGCCAUUCUUCUGCCUCAGCCUCUAGAGUAGCUGGGAUUAUAGGCGCCCGCCACCAUGCCUGGCUAAUUUUCUUGUAUUUUUAGUAGAAACAGGGUGUCACCAUGUUGGCUAGGCUGGUCUCAAACUCCUGACCUCACAUGAUCCACCUGCCUUGGCCUCCUAAAGUGCUGGGAUUAUAAGCAUUAGCAACCAUACCUGGCCCAUAAGAGUGAUUUUUCAAGUCAACGUGGCAGAAAAUAAGAGGAAAAUCUGAGGCUGUUGGCAAGGGUGAUUGACAAGAAAGACCCUGUCCAUACGUUGAACACAGAAAGAAACAAAAUGAGAAGGCUGAGAGAUAAGGUACACAAAUGGGAGUCUUCAGACUGAGGAUCUCGAUGAGGGUACAGAAUUCAGUUACUCAGUGAGUCAUGGAUAGGCACCAGAAAAAGAGAAGAUUCUAGGUAGAGAAUAGAAGAUUUAAAUAUAAGAUCUUAAAGCUGAAUAGUUCCUGGGUAUGGCAAAGCCUGAGAGUAUGUAACUGAAAUUGGGUGGAC
rnacentral:lncRNA from 13 species